AGGCAGCAGUAAGGAAUAUUGGUCAAUGGACGGAAGUCUGAACCAGCCAUGCCGCGUGGAGGAUGAAGGUCCUCUGGAUUGUAAACUUCUUUUAUAGGGGGCGAAAACGGGUCAUUCUUGAUCAACUGACGGUACCCUAUGAAUAAGCACCGGCUAACUCCGUGCCAGCAGCCGCGGUAAUACGGAGGGUGCAAGCGUUAUCCGGAUUUACUGGGUUUAAAGGGAGCGCAGGCGGAGCGUUAAGUCCGUGGUGAAAGCCCUCAGCUCAACUGAGGAACUGCCAUGGAUACUAUCGUUCUUGAAUGUCGUUGAGGUUUGCGGAAUGGGUCAUGUAGCGGUGAAAUGCUUAGAUAUGACCCGGAACACCAAUUGCGAAGGCAGCAGGCUAAACGAAUAUUGACGCUGAGGCUCGAAAGCGUGGGGAUCAAACAGGAUUAGAUACCCUGGUAG
rnacentral:rRNA from 1 species